rnacentral:rRNA from 1 species
AUGACCGCUUUACCAAUAGUUGAGACUCAAUCUGGAGACGUUUCCGCCUAUAUUCCUACUAAUGUAAUCUCCAUUACACAUGGACAAAUAUUCUUAUCUGCGGAUAUAUUCAAUGCAGGAAUUCGACCCGCUAUUAAUGUGGGUAUUUCUGUUUCCAUAGUAGGAUCCAUGGCUCAAAUUAAAGCCAUGAAACAAGUAGCUGGCAAAUCAAAAUUGGAACUAGCGCAAUUCGCAGAGUUACAAGACUUUGCACAAUUCGCCUCUACUCUCGAUAAAACAAGUCAGAAUCAAUUGGCAAGGGGUCGACGAUUAAGGGAAUUGCUUAAAUAAUCCCAGGCAAAUCCUCUCCCAGUGGAAGAGCAUAUAGCUACUAUUUAUACCGGAACAAGAGGAUAUCUUGAUUUGUUAGAAAUUGAACAGGUAAAUAAAUUUCUGGAUGAGUUACGUAAACAUCUAAAAGAUACUAAACCUCAAUUCCAAGAAAUUAUAUCUUCUAGCAAGACAUUCACCGAGCAAGCGGAAAUCCUUUUAAGGAAGAUAUUCAGGAAUAGCUGGAACGGUUUUCUCUUCAGUAACAAAUAA